UACAGAGGUCUCAAGCGUUGUUCGGAAUCACUGGGCGUAAAGGGUGCGUAGGCCGCACGGUAAGUCAGAGGUGAAAUCCCGGAGCUCAACUCCGGAAUGGCCUCCGAUACUGCCGUGCUUGAGGACUGGAGAGGAGUCUGGAAUUCACAGUGGAGCAGUGAAAUGCGUAGAUAUUGUGAGGAACACUAGUGGCGAAGGCGAGACUCUGGACAGUUCCUGACGCUGAGGCACGAAGGCCAGGGGAGCAAACGGG
rnacentral:rRNA from 1 species